GACGUAGGGCGCGAGCGUUGUCCGGAUUUACUGGGCGUAAAGAGCGCGCAGGCGGUCGUUCAAGUCGCGUGUGAAAGCCCCCGGCUCAACUGGGGAGGGUCACGCGAUACUGAUCGACUCGAAGGCAGGAGAGGGAAGUGGAAUUCCCGGUGUAGUGGUGAAAUGCGUAGAUAUCGGGAGGAACACCAGUGGCGAAGGCGACACACUGGCCCGUUACUGACGCUGAGGCGCGAAAGCGUGGGGAGCAAACAGG
rnacentral:rRNA from 1 species